rnacentral:rRNA from 1 species
UACGGGGGGGGGCAAGCGUUGUUCGGAAUUACUGGGCGUAAAGGGCUCGUAGGCGGCCAACUAAGUCGGACGUGAAAUCCCCAGGCUCAACCUGGGAACUGCAUCCGAUACUGGAUGGCUUGAAUUCGGGAGAGGGAUGCAGAAUUCCAGGUGUAGCGGUGAAAUGCGUAGAUAUCUGGAGGAACACCGGUGGCGAAGGCGGCAUCCUGGACCGAUACUGACGCUAAUGAGCGAAAGCCAGGGGAGCAAACGGG